rnacentral:rRNA from 1 species
GUGGGGAAUCUUGCACAAUGGGGGAAACCCUGAUGCAGCGACGCCGCGUGAGCGAUGAAGCCCUUCGGGGUGUAAAGCUCUUUCGGCAGGGAAGACUUUGACGGUACCUGCAGAAGCAGCUGCGGCUAACUACGUGCCAGCAGCCGCGGUAAUACGUAGGCAGCAAGCGUUGUUCGGAGUUACUGGGCGUAAAGGGUGCGUAGGCGGUUCUCUAAGUUUGGUGUGAAAUCUCCCGGCUCAACUGGGAGGGUGCGCCGAAAACUGGAAAGCUAGAGUGUGGGAGAGGUGAGUGGAAUUCCUGGUGUAGCGGUGAAAUGCGUAGAUAUCAGGAGGAACACCGGUGGUGUAGACGGCUCACUGGACCAUUACUGACGCUGAGGCACGAAAGCGUGGGUAGCAAACAGGAUUAGAAACCCCGGUAGUCC